AAGAGGCAAGAGGUAGCAACAGCGAGCGUGCCGGUCGCUACUCGCGGGUCCCCGAGUGAGCGCGCCAGGGAGCAGGAGACCAAGCGACGGAAGUCGGAGUCAGAGUCCCAGUCGGAAUCCCCGGACCGGAGCACGAGCCUGAGCGGGAGAGCGCCGCUCGCACGCCCGUCGCCACCCGCGUACCCGGCGCAGCCAGAGCCACCAGCGCAGCGCUGCCAUGGAGCCCAGCAGCAAGAAGCUGACGGGUCGCCUCAUGCUGGCCGUGGGAGGAGCAGUGCUUGGCUCCCUUCAGUUUGGCUACAACACUGGAGUCAUCAAUGCCCCCCAGAAGGUGAGUACUGUGCCAUCGUUGGCUUAUGGACACCAGCCUGCUCUGUUGCACAUCACACAUGCCCACAGUCUCACACCACCACCUGAAUUAGUCAUUUAGAUCAACACACUGUCUGCUUCUCCAGCCAGUUUUCUGGCCCUGACCAUGUCAGAGACUCGUCUCUUGCUUUGGAAUCUUAGGGUGGCAGAAUUCUAGAAUCUCAGGUCCCACAGAAUCCUGGGGUCUUUUAUAGGCCCUCUUGACCAACUCCCCACC
rnacentral:sRNA from 1 species